rnacentral:lncRNA from 1 species
CUGUGGCUCCAGGGUGCUCCUAUAUUGGCAUGCAUUCAUAUUCAUGGAUGACUUCAUUUUCAUCUGCAGACUCCCACAGUUCUUGAAAGCCUGGAGUCUUCCUCAUCAACAGUGUGUGUGUUUAUAAAACCCACACCCAUCUCCUGGGCAAAAUGGCUCUCUCAAGCCUGAGCUGGUGGCACUGGCCUUGUGACUGGUGGAGGCUGAAGGCUGUCCCAGGGCCCCCCGGGGAUGUGAGGUUGGAUAAUGACAUCUCAUUGGGGAUUGGGGGAGAGGUGGGAGGUGCCACAGACCCUGGCAUCUUCAAACCUCCCAUCAGUGCAAAUCAAUGCAAAAUUAAAAUUCAUGAUGGUUCCGGGGCACAACUGCAAACAAUUUGUUCAGUAAACUUGGCUCUAAUUGGCAUUGGUAGAAUUUCCUGUUAAUCAGGCCCCUUGGGCUCUGUGGGUCUGGGAUGCUCUGUCUCCCCGUGACAGGACAGGCAGCAUGGAAGUGGGGCUGAGAGGAAGGGAGCAGGGAGGAUGUUCAGAUGUGGGCAGCUGCAGCCACGUGCCUGGGUGUGUGUUGCUGUGUAGACCCAAGGGCCAGGUUGGAGUGUCGUCUACAGGUACUUUUUUUUUUCUGGGGGGUGCGAUGGGGGGCUUCUGUGCCAUACUGUGUAGCUUCCCAUAGAGAUGGGAGUUGGGUGUGCCUGAGUCUACCUGGAGCUACUUAGGCAGUAAUAUGUGUGUCAAGGGUGUGCAAAAGUAGCAUAGUAAUACAUAUCAGCUGGGGCACGUGUGCAGGGGACAUGUGUAUGCAUCUGUCAGAGUACAUAUGUAAGGACUUGCAUGUUAUGUCCGUUGUCUAGGCAUGGUCUGUGGAGUGUUUGUGGAUCAGCAGAAUGGAGUCAGAAUUUCAACAUGGAGUCUCCUGGGCCCACAACCUUCUGCUUUCUCGUUGACUCUGAAGAUGGUAAGGCGACUGGUAAGCCAGUUGGUCCUCAGAGGGUCUCCUACCUGCUGUUUCUGACUGAUCAUUAAAGGAGGGCUGGACUCCCAGUGGCAACCGUGCUGUCUCCCAAUGCCUACCACGCUUUUCUCUAGGUCUCCAUCAUCUAUCAUCACCAAGGACUCAAGCCCCAGGCCAAAGGCUUUUGAGGGCUUUGCUGUUGAAAUGAUCCAUGGUCCCAGCUAUGACAAAAACCCACACGGAGAAAUCUCCAGCAACAAAUGCUUAAUGAAGUGCCAGCAAAGCAUCACAUUAUGCAAAGCUGCCCAACUCAUCCGGCGCCUGGUAAUGGGAUGGAGUGUGAAGCUGGGCGUGGUUAUGGAAGUUGAUGUUCCGUGGAGGAGAGCAGCCUCAGGAGUUAAGGAGAGACAAGCAGGUCUAAAGAAGGCUCCAGCCAGCCUUGGGGGCUCUAGAUCUGUGCUCAUGGUAACCAGAAGAGGACAUCCGAUCCCCAAGAGUUGAGGUUGAUUGGGAGCAGCCCCACAUGGGGGCUGGAAACCAAAACUCCUACCUUCUGCAAGAGCAUCAAGGUUAAGAGCAUUCGUUCAGCCCCAGGGCUGACUUUCUACAGCGCCUCAAGUAGGGCCCGUGGGAACAAGGAAUCGUGAUUUGAGGCAGUUCAACAGUUCCCUCCUCUGAGGGGUUUAAGACUUACUAGGCUACUUCAUGACCAGAAGGAAGAGCUUGGAAGGGAGAAGAUAGUUCAACAUACCUAGCCUUUGCUGAGCACUUUGUUAUCUGUCGCACAAGCCCAGAAGAAGAAUGCUGAUAUUCAAAUUUCAUAAAAGGGUAGAUGAUGUGCUGAUCCAAGGAUGCCUGAUUAUGCAGGCUUAGGUUGCCCAGAGCCUCUCUGAAGAGGAGACCCCAUUGCUGGCUUGGGGGAUGGAGCUUAGGCAUGGUUUAUAUUCUCAUGGACCCGCAGGAUUUCCUCUACAGUUCCAUGAAAAUCAGACCAGGCUACUUAAGUACAAGGUCAUUGGCUGGGCCAUAGGUGUGGCUGUUUUCAUGCCACAUUUCAGACUCUGGGCUUCCUCCACCUGCCUACCAAACCCAGGUGCUAUGAGGUAAAGAGCUGGCUGAACCCCUGCAUGCUGAACUGGCGACUCUCGGCUGAAUAUAAACCUGGACUUCCUAGAUCCUAUAUGACUAAGUUUGGCUUCACCCAAAGCAUCACCGCUGCAAUUGUCCAAGAACGCAGAAACCAUCAGCCUCCAACUUCCCAGGAGAGGGGCUGAUCUGGUCACCCACACACACCUCCAUCAUAGGCUUUGGAAGAGGGAACCACACCUCAUCAUUCUAUCCUGGUAGCAGCCAGAGCAUGGGCCGUUGUGGGCCUCGGUUCAAAGCCCAGCUCUGCUACUUCCCAGCCCUGUAUCAAUAGUCCCAGUUUUCCUGUCCAUCCAAUGGGACACUAACAGCCUCUACCUCUGCAGAAAUCUUAAAUAAUCAUCGGUGAGGCAAGCACAGGCCCCAUGCAAAUGGUUGUUACUGUUCCACUUCGGCAACCAAAAUAGACUCAGUUAAAUUCUUGAAAGUUAAUAUUAUAUUUGCAAGUAUGCAUUUGAUAUUUGUGUGUGUGUGUGUGAGAGAGAGAGAGAGAGAGAGAGGGAGAGAGAGAGGGAGGGAGAGAGAAUGUGUGUGGGUGUGGGCGCACAUGUGCUGUGAUGCUGCUGUGCUGGUCAACUCUAAAGACUUGAUUGCUUUUCCUAUGGCUUCUUAGAGUUGUCAUCCCAGACUGGUCUUUAGAGUGCAUGGGACAAUUGUCAAGUCUACGUGAGCCGGAGCGUGCUGGCUCGCACAGAUGUGAGACAGACAUGGUUGUGUUGUUCCUGUUCUUAAGUUCCUGGUACCGGAGGAAGGGGGGAUUCUGAGGGCUUAGAACACAGAAUUAGACCCUACAGCCUUGUUUUAAAAUGGGGAGCAGAGGCUGCUAGCUCAAGGUCAGCCAGAGUCAGGAGCUGGAAAAAUCAGCCUCAAACCCAGUUUGCCUGUAGUUUUGCUUUGGAUGUCAGGAAGUGCAGGUUCCUGGAAAGAGGGACCCCUGGUAAGGGGGUUCUGCUGCUUCUAGCAACUGCCUUUAGCCCCUACAACAGUGAGGCACCCAGCUAAGGAAUCAGUGAGUGUAUGAAUGAAUGAAUGAAUGAAUGAGUGGUGAAUGAACAAAUGAAUGAAUGAGUGGUGAAUCAAUGAAUGAGUGAGUGGUGAAUGGACUGGCAGAAAGAUAAAUGUUCUUUCCAGACCAGAGAGUGUCUAUGGGAUACAGAUCACUGAUUGCCUUGACCUCUGGGCUCCCCAGGGAUGAAAUCUUCUCCAGAUGACGCCACGGGGGAGGGGAGAGAAGGCCCCACCCCAGAAGAAGCCGCUUUCUGAGGGAUGGAAAUUAGAUGGUUAGUAAGCUGUGAGAGGACUGGGGAAAGGAGGCAGGGAUGGUUGUCCUGACUACAGAGGGAGGAAUGGGACCACGGCUCUGCAUGGGAGCUGGGGAGAUGGAGAAGUGUGUGAGGUUGAUGUGCCCGAGGGAACCCUGAAUCACACUUGCUCAGAGCCUGGGACACCUGGGGGCCUCCGUUGGCAAAGGCCACCUCCAUUCCUUAGAGGCCUGGGCAAACUCAGCACUGGCUGUUUAGGAUCCUGUUGCCAUAGAGAUGUGCAGCCAGCUCCUCUUGAGUGUGUUAGAGCCACGGGGUGUGGCCUGCCCUCAAAAUGGUUUGAAGCUGAGGGUGGAGGUGAGAAAGUGAUUGGGGUAGCAGAGGGGUUUGGUGAGACACUGCCCAACACGACAGCCUCAGGCACAUACGAUAUGGCUGACACUGGCUUUAGAAUCUACAGCUCUGGUCUUGAUCCCAGUUUCUGACUUGUAGCCCUAGAUGAGAAAUAUGACACUGCCUAGCAUCAGUUCCCUCAUCUAUGAAAUGGGUUUGAUAGCAUUCUUCGUCAAGCUGCUGUGACUGUCAUUGGAACCUGUCUAGGGAAGCUCAGCGGUGGGUGGGGUGCAGCAAAGCCUCCAUUAGUAAUUGGUGCCAGGGUGGGUCUUCUCAGUAUGCCCCCACUGCACAACCCUGUGACUGGGCCUGCAUUUGGGGACCGGUGGCG